CCUCGGGUGGCAGCAGUGGGGAAUAUUGGACAAUGGGCGAAAGCCUGAUCCAGCCAUGCCGCGUGUGUGAAGAAGGCCUUCGGGUUGUAAAGCACUUUCAGUGGGGAAGAAAGCCUUGGGGCUAAUACCCUCGAGGAAGGACAUCACCCACAGAAGAAGCACCGGCUAACUCCGUGUCAGCAGCCGCGGUAAUACGGAGGGUGCGAGCGUUAAUCGGAAUUACUGGGCGUAAAGCGCGCGUAGGCGGUCUGAUAAGCCGGUUGUGAAAGCCCCGGGCUCAACCUGGGAACGGCAUCCGGAACUGUCAGGCUAGAGUGCAGGAGAGGAAGGUAGAAUUCCCGGUGUAGCGGUGAAAUGCGUAGAGAUCGGGAGGAAUACCAGUGGCGAAGGCGGCCUUCUGGACUGACACUGACGCUGAGGUGCGAAAGCGUGGGUAGCAAACAGGAUUAGAUACCCGAGUAGUC
rnacentral:rRNA from 1 species